GAUGAACGCUGGCGGCGUGCCUAAUACAUGCAAGUCGAGCGAAGCGGGGACGGGUGAGUAACACGUGGAUAACUUCCUUUACGACUGGGAUAACUUCGGGAAACCGGAGCUAAACCGGAUACUUAUCGAUGGAUCCGCGUUGCAUGAGCUAGUGUGUAAGGUAACGGCUUACCAAGGCAACGAUGCAUAGCCGACCUGCGAGGGUGAUCGGCCACACUGGGACUGAGACACGGUCCAGACGCCUACGGGAGGGAGCAGUAGGGAAUCUGCCGCAAUGGGCGAAAGCCUGACGGAGCAACGCCGCGUGAGUGAUGAAGGUCUUCGGAUCGUAAAACUCUGUUAUUAGGGAGGCGGUACCUAAUCAGAAAGCCACGGCUAACUACGUGCCAGCAGCCGCGGUAAUAC
rnacentral:rRNA from 1 species